UCACCAUUUUUGCACCCGUUAACCGAGACCUAUGGGUGGAUAAAUUACGUCUCUCAUAUCCAUCAGUGAAGGGAUUGAUGGAAAUAUAGUAUCGC
ncrna:unclassified sequences PhotoRC-II RNA